rnacentral:rRNA from 1 species
UUAAGCUAGAAAGAGCGCAGGGUGGAUGCCUUGGCACUAAGAGCCGAUGAAAGACGUGAUAAGCUGCGAAAAGCUUCGGGGAGGAGCAAAUAUCCUUUGAUCCGGAGAUAUCUGAAUGGGGAAACCCGGCUGAGAAGACCUCAGUCACUGUAUGGUAAAUCCAUAGCCAUACAGAGGGAACCCGGUGAACUGAAACAUCUAAGUAGCCGGAGGAAGAGAAAGAAACAUCGAUUCCGGAAGUAGCGGCGAGCGAACCCGGAAGAGCCCAAACCAGCGUGCGUGCAUGCUGGGGUUAAGGACUGCAUAAGUGAGCCGAUCUGUUAAUGGAACUGCCUGGGAAGGCAGGCCAGAGAGGGUGAAAGCCCCGUACAUGAAAACGGUAGGCAGCGGCAGGAUCCAGAGUACCGCGAGACACGAGAAACCUUGCGGGAAGUCGGAGGGACCACCCUCCAAGGCUAAAUACUCCUUAGUGACCGAUAGCGCAUAGUACUGUGAAGGAAAGGUGAAAAGGACCCCGGGAGGGGAGUGAAAGAGAACCUGAAACCCUGUGUUUACAAGCUGUGGGAGCACGUUAAGGUGCAACCGCGUACUUUUUGUAGAACGGUCCGGCGAGUUGCCGGUGCUGGCAAGGUUAAAUGGUACAGCCAUGGAGCCGAAGGGAAACCAAGUCUCAAAUGGGCGUAAAGUCAGCACAGGCAGACCCGAAACCGGGUGACCUAUCCAUGUCCAGGAUGAAGCGGAAGUAAAAUUCCGUGGAGGUCCGGAUCCACAUCCGUUGAAAAGGGUGGGAAUGAGGUGUGGAUAGGGGAGAAAUUCCAAUCGAACCCGGAGAUAGCUGGUUCUCCUCGAAAUAGCUUUAGGGCUAGCCUCAUGGAUCAUUGGUGGGGGUAGAGCACUGAAUGUGCGCGGGGGCCACAAAGCCUACCAAACGCUAUCAAACUACGAAUACCAUACAAUGCAGACCAUGGGAGUCAGUCCGCGAGAGAUAAGUUCCGCGGGCAAAAGGGGAACACCCCAGAUCAACCGCUAAGGUCCCCAAGUUCACGUUAAGUGGAGAAGGAUGUGGAAUUGCACAGACAACCAGGAUGUUGGCUCAGAAGCAGCCACACAUUUAAAGAGUGCGUAAUAGCUCACUGGUCGAGUGAUUGUGCGCCGAAGAUGUCCGGGGCUAAACGUGACACCGAAGCGAUGGGUGCGUCUGAAGAAGAUGCGCGGUAGAGGAGCAAUGUGCAGAGGCAGAAGCCGUAUCGAGAGGCACGGUGGACACUGCACAAGAGAGAAUGCCGGUAUGAGUAGCGAGAGGCAUGCGAGAAACAUGCCCGUCGAAAGCCCAAGGUUUCCUGGGGAAGGUUCGUCCGCCCAGGGUAAGUCGGGGCCUAAGCCGAGGACGGAAGUCGUAGGCGAUGGACAGCAGGUGUAGAUUCCUGCACUACCGAUGGAAUGAAGCAGUGACACAGAAGGAUAACUCGAGCAGGGUGAUGGUCAACCCUGUGCAAGCAUCAAGGUUGGGUUGUAGUGAAGUACGCAACCCUAUAAGCUGAGAUGUGAUGCGGACCGAAAUUUCAGUAGGGAAGCGAGUGAGUUCACGCUGGCGAGAAAAGCUGCUAGUACAUCCAAAGGUACCCGUACCGGAAACCGACGCAGGUGGGCGAGGAGAGAAUCCUGAGACGAACGGGAGAACCCUUGUUAAGGAACUCGGCAAAAUGACCCCGUAACUUCGGGAUAAGGGGUGCCUGCGAGAGCAGGCCGCAGAGAAUAGUCACAAGCGACUGUUUAGCAAAAACACAGGUAUCUGCGAAAGCGAGAGCUGACGUAUAGGUGCUGACACCUGCCCGGUGCUGGAAGGUUAAGGGAACAUGUUAGAGCAAUCGAAGCAUCGAACCGAAGCCCCAGUAAACGGCGGCCGUAACUAUAACGGUCCUAAGGUAGCGAAAUUCCUUGUCGGGUAAGUUCCGACCCGC